rnacentral:lncRNA from 1 species
UGCAAGUGAAUUAAAAUUCACUUGCACAGUGUAAAUGUCAAUUACUGAAACAAUGCAAGAGGAAGAAGUCGCGUACCUGGCGAUGGGGACGAUUCUGGCUGGAACGCUGGUGGUGACUUUCGCCUGCUUGAUACCUUUUCUUCUGCUUUUUCCGUUCUUGUGCCCGCGGUCUGCUUUUUGUUUUUAACAGACUUUGAGAUGACGAAGGAGACAACAAUGGAGAUGCCGGUUUACUGUGGAUGCCGAUUGUUGUCUUUAUUUUUUGUUUUUGCAGGGAUAACACGAUGGCAGGGAUAAUCAAUCCUUGUCUGUGUGUGUGCUUCCCUUUUUCUCCCCUGCUCUGCGUGUUAUUUCUUUAUGUAUUUCUGUGUGCCUCUCUAUUUUUCUUUCUGUUUCCCCUUCCCCUGUGUCUUCGUUCCUCUCUCUGUAUUUUCUUUUUUUGAUUGUGUUUUGUUUGCUCUGUCGGGUGCGACAGAAUUGCUCUGUUUUUGUUGUUUUUCUUCUUUGUUUUUCUGGCUUUUUCUUUCGUCUUUUUUCUGGCUUUUUUCCUCCUCUGGUGUCUUCUUCGUCCUGCCUUUUAUAAGGCGAGAGACCUUCAAAAAACCAUCACCUCCACCUACGGGAUUGUGGCAAUCGUGGCAGAAGACAUGGUCACGAUUUGGAUCGGAUGCACUGGGAUUUUCCUGUUGAAUCGGCUGCCCUGGCGAAAUGGAAGGGAUGACGAACAGUAUUAUUGCAAACGGCACCGUUUAACAAUUUUCAAUUUGCCCCUGAACUUUGGCAAUUUCGCAAUUGGACCCCUGAAUAAAAAUUUCUUUUAAUUUUGCCCUUUUUGGAUAAAUUUCAAUUAAAUCCCUAAAUUGGUGCAUUAUUUACAAAACAGUCCUUAAUUCCUGGAUUAUUCAAUUUGGUCCUUAAUUAAUUCUUUCAAUUUUGCCCUUUUUGGAUAAAUAUAAAUUAAGUCCCUG